rnacentral:rRNA from 1 species
CGGGUGAGUAACGCGUGAGCAACCUGUCCCAAACAGGGGGAUAACGAACCGAAAGGUUCACUAAUACCGCAUGAGACCACAUUGCCACAUGGCAAAGGGGUCAAAGGAGAAAUCCGGUUUGGGGUGGGCUCGCGUCUGAUUAGCUAGUUGGUGAGGUAAAGGCCCACCAAGGCGACGAUCAGUAGCCGACCUGAGAGGGUGAUCGGCCACAUUGGAAGUGAGAGACGGUCCAAACUCUUACGGGAGGCAGCAGUGGGGAAUAUUGGGCAAUGGGCGAAAGCCUGACCCAGCAACGCCGCGUGAAGGAAGAAGGUUUUCGGAUCGUAAACUUCUAUCCUUGGUGAAGAUAAUGACGGUAGCCAAGAAGGAAGCCCCGGCUAACUACGUGCCAGCAGCCGCGGUAAUACGUAGGGGGCAAGCGUUGUCCGGAAUGAUUGGGCGUAAAGGGCGCGUAGGCGGCCUGGUAAGUCUGGAGUGAAAGUCCUGCUUUUAAGGUGGGAAUUGCUCUGGAUACUGUCGGGCUUGAGUGCAGGAGAGGUAAGUGGAAUUCCCGGUGUAGCGGUGAAAUGCGUAGAGAUCGGGAGGAACACCAGUGGCGAAGGCGACUUACUGGACUGUAACUGACGCUGAGGCGCGAAAGUGUGGGGAGCAAACAGGAUUAGAUACCCUGGUAGUCCACACUGUAAACGAUGAAUGCUAGGUGUAGGGGGUAUCGAACCCUUCUGUGCCGCAGUUAACACAAUAA